GCAAGUCGAGCGAACAGAUAAGGAGCCUGCUCCUUUGAAGUUAGCGGCGGACGGGUGAGUAACACGUGGGUAACCUACCUAUAAGACUGGGAUAACUUCGGGAAACCGGAGCUAAUACCGGAUAACAUUUAGAACCGCAUGGUUCUAAAGUGAAAGAUGGUUUUGCUAUCACUUAUAGAUGGACCCGCGCCGUAUUAGCUAGUUGGUAAGGUAACGGCUUACCAAGGCGACGAUACGGAGCCGACCUGAGAGGGGGAGC
rnacentral:rRNA from 1 species